rnacentral:rRNA from 1 species
GAUGGUAAGGUAACGGCUUACCAUGGCUAUGAUGUCUAGGGGUUCUGAGAGGAAGGUCCCCCACACUGGAACUGAGACACGGUCCAGACUCCUACGGGAGGCAGCAGUGAGGAAUAUUGGACAAUGGAUGGAAAUCUGAUCCAGCCAUGCCGCGUGAAGGACGACGGUCCUAUGGAUUGUAAACUUCUUUUGUAUGGGAGCAAUAAGGUCUACGUGUAGAUCGAUGAGAGUACCAUACGAAUAAGCAUCGGCUAACUCCGUGCCAGCAGCCGCGGUAAUACGGAGGAUGCGAGCGUUAUCCGGAUUUAUUGGGUUUAAAGGGUGCGUAGGCGGUUGUAUAAGUCAGCGGUGAAAUUUUCCGGCUUAACCGGGAGACUGCCGUUGAUACUGUAUAGCUUGAAUACGGUUGCUGUGAGUGGAAUGUGUGGUGUAGCGGUGAAAUGCAUAGAUAUCACACAGAAUAUCGAUUGCGAAGGCAGCUCACAAAGCCGUUAUUGACGCUGAUGCACGAAAGUGUGGGGAUCAAACAGGAUUAGAUACCCUGGUAGUCCACACUGUAAACGAUGAUAACUAGCUGUCGGCGAUACAUAGUCGGUGGCCAAGCGAAAGCGAUAAGUUAUCCACCUGGGGAGUACGACCGCAAGGUUGAAACUCAAAGGAAUUGACGGGGGCCCGCACAAGCGGAGGAACAUGUGGUUUAAUUCGAUGAUACGCGAGGAACCUUACCCGGGCUCGAACGGUGCAGUAAUAUGGUAGAGAUAUCAUAGCUAGCAAUAGACUGUAUCGAGGUGCUGCAUGGUUGUCGUCAGCUCGUGCCGUGAGGUGUCGGCUUAAGUGCCAUAACGAGCGCAACCCUUGUCGUUAGUUACCAUCAAGUAAAGUUGGGGACUCUAGCGAGACUGCCACCGUAAGGUGUGAGGAAGGGGGGGAUGACGUCAAAUCAGCAC